UCGAGGAUCAUUCGCAAUGGGGGAAACCCUGACGAUGCGACGCUGCGUGGAGGAUGAAGGCCCUCGGGUUGUAAACUCCUGUCAUGAGGGAAGAGGGAAGCCCUUCUAACACAAGGGCGACUUGACGGUACCUCAAGAGGAAGCCACGGCUAACUCUGUGCCAGCAGCCGCGGUAAUACAGAGGUGGCGAGCGUUGUUCGGAUUUACUGGGCGUAAAGGGCGCGUAGGCGGCCGCGUGUGUGGGGUGUGAAAUCUCCGGGCUCAACCCGGAAAGUGCGCCCCAAACUGCGCGGCUGGAGUGCGGGAGGGGAUGUCGGAAUGCAGGGUGUAGCGGUGAAAUGCGUUGAUAUCCUGCAGAACACCGGUGGCGAAGGCGGACAUCUGGAACGCAACUGACGCU
rnacentral:rRNA from 1 species